GUGGGGAAUAUUGGGCAAUGGGGGAAACCCUGACCCAGCAACGCCGCGUGAAGGAAGAAGGUUUUCGGAUCGUAAACUUCUAUCCUUGGUGAAGAUAAUGACGGUAGCCAAGAAGGAAGCCCCGGCUAACUACGUGCCAGCAGCCGCGGUAAUAAGUAGGGGGCAAGCGUUGUCCGGAAUGAUUGGGCGUAAAGGGCGCGUAGGCGGCCUGGUAAGUCUGGAGUGAAAGUCCUGCUUUUAAGGUGGGAUUUGCUUUGGAUACUGUCGGGCUUGAGUGCAGGAGAGGUAAGCGGAAUUCCCGGUGUAGCGGUGAAAUGCGUAGAGAUCGGGAGGAACACCAGUGGCGAAGGCGGCUUACUGGACUGUAACUGACGCUGAGGCGCGAAAGUGUGGGGAGCAAACAGGAUUAGAUACCCCAGUAGUCC
rnacentral:rRNA from 1 species